UUUAUGGAGAGUUUGAUCCUGGCUCAGGACGAACGCUGGCGGCGUGCUUAACACAUGUAAGUCGAACGGAAAGGCCUAGCUUGCUAGGUACUCGAGUGGCGAACGGGUGAGUAACACGUGGGUGAUCUGCCUCGUACUUCGGGAUAAGCCUGGGAAACUGGGUCUAAUACUGGAUAGGACCAUGCUUUAGUGUGUGUGGUGGAAAGUUUUUUCGGUACGAGAUGAGCCCGCGGCCUAUCAGCUUGUUGGUGGGGUAAUGGCCUACCAAGGCGUCGACGGGUAGCCGGCCUGAGAGGGUGGACGGCC
rnacentral:rRNA from 1 species